rnacentral:rRNA from 1 species
GAUGAACGCUAGCGGCAGGCCUAACACAUGCAAGUCGAGGGGGAAGUUACUUUCGGGUGACUGAGACCGGCGUACGGGUGCGUAACGCGUAUACAAUCUGCCUUUCACUGGGGGAUAGCCCGAAGAAAUUUGGAUUAAUACCCCAUAGUAUAUAGGGACGGCAUCGUUUUUAUAUUAAAGCUUAGGUGGUGAAAGAUGAGUAUGCGUUCUAUUAGCUAGUUGGAGGGGUAACGGCUCCCCAAGGCGAUGAUAGAUAGGGGUUCUGAGAGGGAUGUCCCCCACACUGGUACUGAGAUACGGACCAGACUCCUACGGGCGGCAGCAGUGAGGAAUAUAGGACACUGGUCGGAAGACUGAUCCAGCCAUGCCGCGUGCAGGAUGAAGGUCUUAUGGAUUGUAAACUGCUUUUGUAAGGGAAGAAUAAGGGCUACGCGUAGUUUGAUGACGGUACCUUACGAAUAAGCAUCGGCUAACUCCGUG